rnacentral:rRNA from 1 species
AUUGAACGCUAGCGGCAGGCCUAACACAUGCAAGUCGAACGGGUGGCGGACGGGUUAGUUAUGUCUGUGCAACUGCCUGAUGGAGGGGGACAACAAAUGGAAACGGUUGCUAAUACCGCCUACCACCGGCUGUGCCCAGAUGGGAUUAGCUAGUUGGUGGGGUAACGGCACACCAAGGCGACGAUCCCUAGCUGGUCUGAGAGGAUGACCAGCCACACUGGAACUGAGACACGGUCCAGACUCCUACGGGAGGCAGCAGUGGGGAAUAUUGCACAAUGGGCGAAAGCCUGAUGCAGCCAUGCCGCGUGUGUGAAGAAGGCCUUCGGGUUGUAAAGUACUUUCAGCGGGGAGGCGUUACCUGCAGAAGAAGCACCGGCUAACUCCGUGCCAGCCGCCGCGGUAAUUC